UUGCUGUUGGUUCUGUUUGCGGUCUUCAAAUCUAUGGUGC
rnacentral:tRNA from 1 species